CUUGGCAGUGCCCUGGUGUGGACAACACCCUCCUCUUCCUGCCUGGGCUCCGACGAUGGCAACUUUGGUUGUUCCUGUUGUUGCUGUUACCGUUCCUGGCAGAGCUGAUCUAAAAGCCCAGCCGGCGGCUGAGUGAAUAAUGGCAGAGAGUGAGGAGAAGCUGAACAAGGGAUGAUUCCUGUCCCAGGUGGGGAAGAGCAGGACAGGGUGAGAUUUCGUCCUGCUACUCAGAAUGGAACAGAAUCAGAAUGGAUGGGAGUUAUUUGUACAGAGAGUUAUUUGUACAUCCUGCUCUGUACCGGAUCCAGUUCGGAAAGGGGACAAGAACGCUGGGGUGAGCACUUUGCAACCUACUGACACGGAUUUUAUCACUGCCAUCGGGAAGCAAAUGGGCAGAGGGGUAAAAAGAAAACAACCCCAACUGUCCUGUGGACACUCGGUUUCAUUCGACUCUUGUAGCCCUGGUAGAGAAUGUCAGGCAAGGGGGACGUGUAGGGGAACAGAGGGAAGGGAUCCGGUCUAUUCCCAUUCUUCAAAGCUCCUAGGCUAGCAGUCACUGGGGUCAAUGAAAUUGAACUGCAAUCUACAACACUUAUUGAAUACCUGUUUUAUGGUGGGCGUCAUGGCUACAUUGGAAUCCUGUCUUUCUCUCACGCCUCCCUGGAGAAGACUCGGGACCAUCUCUAUGUGGUCGGGAAAGGAGAGACCUUAUGUUUGAAUAGAGGCAAAGACCAAAAAAGUAAUAAUCAGGACAAGUCAUCAAAA